GACAGAGGCCUCGAGCGUUAUGCGGAAUCACUGGGCUUAAAGCGUGUGUAGGCGGCCGCCUAAGUACCUUGUGAAAUCCCACGGCUCACCCGUGGAACCGCUGGGUAUACUGGGCGUCUUGGGCCAUUCAGGGGCAACUGGAACAAGCGGUGGAGCGGUGAAAUGCGUAGAUAUCAUUUGGAACGCCAAUGGUGAAAACAGCUCGCUGGGGGUGUACUGACACUGAGACACGAAAGCCAGGGGAGCGAACGGG
rnacentral:rRNA from 1 species